rnacentral:rRNA from 1 species
UACGUAGGGUGCAAGCGUUGUCCGGAAUUAUUGGGCGUAAAGAGCUCGUAGGCGGUCUGUCGCGUCGGAUGUGAAAACCCAGGGCUCAACCCUGGGCCUGCAUUCGAUACGGGCAGACUAGAGUUCGGUAGGGGAGACUGGAAUUCCUGGUGUAGCGGUGAAAUGCGCAGAUAUCAGGAGGAACACCGGUGGCGAAGGCGGUUCUCUGGGCAUGAUCUGACGCUGAGGAGCGAAAGUGUGGGGAGCGAACAGG